CUUCCUCUUUUUGGCAUCCACCUUCAAAGUUCUCUCAUUAAAGGUUGAGAUCACUUGUUCUCCGCCGCGAAUCUAGGGAGGGUUUUGCCGCCAAUCCGAGCGGGGAAGCUCACCGAAGACGAGGUAAAUAGGAUCAGUAGGGAUGAAGGUUGGUCCAUGCUUGGAGUUCGCACUAGCAUGCUUGGCAAUUUUGUAGAAGAAUUUUAUUAUUAACUAUAAAUUUGUAGCUAAUGAUCUUCUGAAUAUUGAGGUUGAUGGGUUUGGUAUUGAUAUUAGAUUUAGAAGCUCUGAACUAAUUUUAGUUUUAUUUAAUGGACAAUGAAAUUAGAUAUUUUAUUAUUUUA